ACAUCUUCUAUUGUCUUUCCCAAAUUGAAAAAUCUUGAGUUUUUAUGGAUGGAUGGAUGGAAAGAGUGGAAUGAUAUUAUUUUGAAAGGAGAUGAAUUAGUUAUUACAAUCAUGCCAUGUCUUCGUAACUUGAGCAUUACUUUAAGCCCCCUUAAAAAGCUGCCCAAUUACAUUCUUCAAUUGCCAACACUAAAACAAUUGGAGAUCGCCGGUUGCAGUACUCUAAGUCAGCGUUACAAGAAGGAGACAGGUGAAGAUUGGCACAAGAUCUCUCACAUUCCUGACGUUACCAUCUGGUAAUGAUUGACCCAUAGUACAAAUCCGAUGUCCUGUUGUGCACGUUUUUAUUAAAGACGCUACCCAAUUACAUUCUUCAAUCGCAACAUGAAAACAAUUGGCGAUUUGAGUACUGCUAUAUUCUAAGUUCGUGUUGCAAGGAGACAAGUGACGAUUGGUCCAAGAUCUCCCGCAUUCCUAAUGUCACCUUUACAUUAAGAUGAUCCACCCACCGAAUUAUGCAUAGAAGGUGUUUGAAAGAUGAAAUGGCUGAACCAAGGCUUGUGUUUCAAGGAACCGUAUCGAUACUGCUAUCAAAUGUUUUUUGAUCAACAGAUAAAAUUUGAGCUCACUAUUUUUUCUCA